GACGAACGCUGGCGGCGUGCUUAACACAUGCAAGUCGAACGGAAAGGCCCUGCUUUUGUGGGGUGCUCGAGUGGCGAACGGGUGAGUAACACGUGAGUAACCUGCCCUUGACUUUGGGAUAACUUCAGGAAACUGGGGCUAAUACCGGAUAGGAGCUCCUGCUGCAUGGUGGGGGUUGGAAAGUUUCGGCGGUUGGGGAUGGACUCGCGGCUUAUCAGCUUGUUGGUGGGGUAGUGGCUUACCAAGGCUUUGACGGGUAGCCGGCCUGAGAGGGUGACCGGCCACAUUGGAACUGAGAUACGGCCCAGACUCCUACGGGAGGCACCAGUGGGGAAUAUUGCACAAUGGGCGGAAGCCUGAUGCAGCAACGCCGCGUGCGGGAUGACGGCCUUCGGGUUGUAAACCGCUUUCGCCUGUGACGAAGCGUGAGUGACGGUAAUGGGUAAAGAAGCACCGGCUAACUACGUG
rnacentral:rRNA from 1 species